GGCAGUAUAUAAAGGUGCCCUCUGUAGGCGACCAUGUCGUCGAUCACCGACCAGGGAGCGGCGCGUGUACCCGCGCGGACCUCGUCGUGGAUGGCGACCAGGGCCGGAUCCGUGGCCUGGGCGUGUCGAAGGCGUGUGAUGAAGUCGAAGCGGGGCGCCGAGAUCGCCAGCAGGGCGCCGUCGUCGUCGUCGCGGCGGGAGAGCGUCGGCCACCGUGUUCGACGCGCCCGACCGGUACUCGACGGAGAAAUCGAACCCCAGCAGUUUGUCGACCCAAUGGUGUUGGGGUAUCGUGGCCAGGCGCUAGUCGAAGAGGUAUUUGAGGCUGUAGUGGUCCGUCUUGACGAUGAAGCGACGACCCCACAAGUAUGGCCGCCAGUGCUGAACAGCCUGGACGAGACCGAUGAGUUCUCACUCAUAGGCUGCAAGGGCGCGGUGACGGGGUGCGACGGGUCGGCUGAAGAAGGCGACCGGGUGGCCGUCCUGGCCGAGCACCGCGCCGAACCCGUGCGACGACGCGUCGCACUCGACGACGAAGGCCUUGGCGAAGUCCGGCAUGGCGAGGACCGGGGCGGUGGUGACCGCGAUCUUGAGCGCCGCGAACGCCGCGGCUGCCGCGUCGUCCCAGGCGAAGCUGUCCUUGAGGAGGGCUGUCAGCAGUGCGGCAACGGUGCCGUAGUUGUGGACGAACUUGCGGUAGUACCCCGCCAAGCCGAGGAAGCCACGGACCGCACGGACCGAGCGCGGCGCCGGCCAAUCGACGAUGGCCUGCACCUUGGCCGGAUCCAUGGCCACACCGGCCUCGGAGAUGACGUGCCCGAGGUAGGAGACAAACGGGACGCCGAAAGCGCACUUGUUGCGCUUUACAAAGAGCUGGUGCCGCCUCAGCUCGGAGAAGACGGCGCGGAGAUGGCGAAGAUGAUCCGCCCAAGUCUUGCUAUAUAUCAAAAUGUCGUCAAAAAACACAAGAACGAAACGACGGAGGAAGGGGCGAAGUACAUCGUUCAUGAGAGCCUGGAAUGUCGCCGGAGCGUUGCAGAGCCCGAACGCCAUCACCAGGAACUCGUAGAGGCCGUCGUGGGUGCGGAACGCGGUCUUGUGAACGUCCUCCGUCCGCAUGCGCACCUGGUGGUAUCCGGAACGUAGGUCCAGCUUGGUGAAGAACCGUGCCCCAUGGAGCUCAUCGAGAAGCUCGUCGACCACCGGCUGCGCGCCCGUCUUGAGGGUGAUGCGAUGGUCGUGUGCGCGCUUGGGGGGCAGCCCCGAGGGCUCAGCGAAGACGUCCCCAAAAGAGUCCAGGAGUUCCACCAGGAGGGAGUCACUGGCUGUCACCGUCCCGAGGCUCAGUUCUCCAGUGCUCGGCCCGCCCGCCCAGCACACUGUGCGCCCGUGUCGUUGGAAGGUCAUGGUCUGGGCGCCAAAAUCCCAGAGCACCGGCCCCAGCGCCGCCAGCCAUUGGGUACCGAGCACCAGAUCGUAUCCGGCCAGCGGCAUCACGAAGAGGUUGGCGCAGAACGUGUCGUCGCCGAUGACGACGGGGCGUGCCGAAGAACGCCCGGGCACGUGACGCGCUCACCGUUCGCCACCGUCGUGGUGAGCCAUGGACGCCGCUGCAUGGGUAGGCCGGAACGAAGAGCCGCUUCCUCGGCGAUGAAGUUAUGUGUGGAGCCUGAGUCGAGGAGCACGGUGAAGACGGCGGCGCCCACGGACACCCUGAUCUGCAUGGUGUCGCGGACGGAGACGCCGGCGAUCGUGUGGAGGGAGAUGUGCGGGGACUCGUUGGUGGCGAUCUCCUCAUCAGCAACGUCGUCUUCCGGGUCGUCCUCGAUGGCGCUAUCGAGGAGAAAUAGCCGCUUGCAGACCCUGUUGUGGCCGCGGCCGAAUUUCUCAUCAUAGUUAUAGCAGAGGCCCAGGCGGCGCCUCUCCUCCUGUUCCGCCUGAGUCAAUCUGCGAACUGGCCGGCCCUCCACCGUGACCGUGGCAGGCGCAUGCUUGGGCGCCGUAUCCGUUGCGGGUGCCGGCAGGGCUAGACGCGGUGCCGGUGUUGGCAAGAGUGGCCGGUCGCGCUGGGGCGCGCGUGGGGCCGGCGCGGCGUAGCUGUUGCGUAGCUCAAUCCGGCGAGCGAGGCUCAUGGCCGUCGCCAAUGACUGUGGGUUGUGUAUCUCCACAUCAUGGCUGAGCGGCGGAAGUAGUCCGGCGGUGAACAGCUUGACGCGCUGUGCCUCGUCCAGACGGCCGGCACGGGGAAGAAGUGCUUGGAACCUUUCCUGGUACUCCGCCACAGACCCGGUGCGGUGGCAUGCCGCCAACUCGCCGAGCGGAUUGGAUCUGAGCGGCGGCCCAUAGCGCAGCUGGAGAAGGUCCUUGAAGCGGCGCCACGAGGGAGUGCCCUUGUCUUACUGAACUUGAUAGUACCAGAGUUGGGCGCCCUCCUCGAGGUUGUACGACGCCAUCCAGACCUUCUCUUCCUCCAUGAUCUGUUGCUGGUGAAAGUAGGAUUCACAGCGGUUGAUGAAGAUCAGCGGAUCGGACUUGCCGUCAUAGCAUGGGAAGUUGAGUUUUUGGAGACGCGGCGGUCGAUCCUGAUGAUGUUCGCUUGUCCCGGAGGAGAACGACGAGCCGCCUGGCGGAGCACGUGCGGCUUCCAGGCGCUGGAUGGCCAGGGCGUUGGCCUCCACGGUCGUCUGGAGGAGCUUGAGAGACUCGGCCAGGGAGUCCAGGGUGGCCUGCAAGGCAUCGUUGGCGGCGGCGUCACCUAUGGCGGCGCGGCGAGGUGGGAGUGAUGGGGCACGACAGGAACUAGAUGAAGCGGCGGCUGGCGGUGGUGGCGAGGAGGCGCGGGAAGAGUUGGAUCGCCUAGAUCGUGAUACCAGGUUGUCAAGGACGUGGAAUCCUUGGGUAGCGGGACCCCGACUACGUAGUUCGUAGUCGCGAUCCGUCUUCUCCGGCGAGGUUUUGCCCCUCAGCCGCAGGCUUUGGUUGGAGAUGAGAAAGAGAUUAGGGAUAACAAUCUUGCUUGCCUUUCGAGAGUCUGGUUACAGCAUAUAUAUGGCCGGCGGCCCACAAACCAACUGGAGGAAAUCCCUCCGUAACCCUAGGAACCAAAACU